GCCCGAUUAGCUCAGCUGGUUAGAGCGUCGUACUAAUAAAUAAUUCCUUCUGGAGUAUUUAUCAAGUCAUGCGAAGGUCAACAGUUCAAUCCUGUUAUUGGGCA